rnacentral:lncRNA from 1 species
GAGACUGCUCUGUACUACUGUGCUCUGAGGCCCACAGUGACAGGAAACCCAGAAACACUACAAAAACCUGACCAUAAUAAAUUCCUACUAGUAAACACCAUGUAAUAGGAGGAGCUAAGAUGAGAGGUGGAGAGAUGAUUCUCCUCUAUCUGACUGGAACAGUGGGACGUCUUCAGUUUUUCUUCCUGAUAACACACUGUUACACCCAUCACCAUGUUUCUCUACCCAGUGUUUCUCCUCUCUGCACAUGUUGUUGAUGGUGAUAUACAGGCUGAGAUGGACAUGGAAGAGAGAGAGAGGAUCUCUACCUCUUACUGUAACUCACAGUCACUCUCAGUGUGUUCUGUAUAACCAUGGUACUCUGUGUGAUCAUCUGGCUGGUUCUUGAUGUAUUCUGCUUUGGUGACAGUAAUGGUCAGAUCAUUAAGCCAAUCUCUUCUGCUGAAGUGAGAGACUCUGCAAUGUACUAUUGUGCUGUGACAGGAACCCAGAAACUCUGUACUAAAACCUUUCCUUAUACUUUCAAAUGUAGAUAUAAAAUGUAAUUGAUUUAAUGUAGUCAGUAGGAGGAGCUAAAGCUAAGGAUUAGAUAAUGAAUCAUUGUGAUAAGACAUGAUUCUCCCUACAUUAAUAAAAUCAAUCUAAGCAGGAGGAAGAGCAGCAACAGUUGAAGACUCUUCAAACACAGUAUGUGGAAAGAACAGUGAUCAGUCUGAUUUGUUGCCUUUUAUUGUCAGUUUGUCUAACUUACAAAGAACAUUGUUACUUUUUUCAAUUUUACUGUUCACAACAAUUACAGGUAAGAGACAGCAUUUGUUAUAUAAAUAUUGUCUAUUUUAUGUGUAUUUAAUAAUAAUAAUAAAAAUGCAGUAUCCAAGGAAAUUAUAUCAAUCUUCCAUGUGGAUUUCGGGUUUAUGUUUAAAUUCUGAAGAGGUAAUUACACCCUAUACUGAUGCAGUGCUGGCUUUGGACACGGACAGAGUUACUCUCUCUUGUAACUACACUGCUGGUGACACUCUUCAAUGGUAUCAACAAUAUCCCAAAUCACCACCACAGUUAUUGGUUAUGGAGUUAA